GAUGAACGCUGGCGGCGUGCCUAAUACAUGCAAGUCGAGCGAACAGACGAGGAGCUUGCUCCUCUGACGUUAGCGGCGGACGGGUGAGUAACACGUGGAUAACCUACCUAUAAGACUGGGAUAACUUCGGGAAACCGGAGCUAAUACCGGAUAAUAUAUUGAACCGCAUGGUUCAAUAGUGAAAGACGGUUUUGCUGUCACUUAUAGAUGGAUCCGCGCCGCAUUAGCUAGUUGGUAAGGUAACGGCUUACCAAGGCAACGAUGCGUAGCCGACCUGAGAGGGUGAUCGGCCACACUGGAACUGAGACACGGUCCAGACUCCUACGGGAGGCAGCAGUAGGGAAUCUUCUGCAAUGGGCGAAAGCCUGACGGAGCAACGCCGCGUGAGUGAUGAAGGUCUUCGGAUCGUAAAACUCUGUUAUUAGGGAAGAACAAAUGUGUAAGUAACUAUGCACGUCUUGACGGUACCUAAUCAGAAAGCCACGGCUAACUACGU
rnacentral:rRNA from 1 species